GCCUGGGUGGCUCAGUCGGUUAAGCAUCUGACUUCGGCUCAGGUCAUAUCUCACGGUCCGUGGGUUCGAGCCCUGCGUCGGGCU
rnacentral:tRNA from 1 species